rnacentral:rRNA from 1 species
AAAUUGAAGAGUUUGAUCAUGGCUCAGAUUGAACGCUGGCGGCAGGCCUAACACAUGCAAGUCGAACGGUAACAGAAAGCAGCUUGCUGCUUUGCUGACGAGUGGCGGACGGGUGAGUAAUGUCUGGGAAACUGCCUGAUGGAGGGGGAUAACUACUGGAAACGGUAGCUAAUACCGCAUAACGUCGCAAGACCAAAGAGGGGGACCCUCGGGCCUCUUGCCAUCGGAUGUGCCCAGAUGGGAUUAGCUUGUUGGUGGGGUAACGGCUCACC